UACAGAGGUCUCGAGCGUUGUUCGGAUUCAUUGGGCGUAAAGGGCGCGUAGGCGGCGGGGUAAGUCUGGUGUGAAAUCUCGGAGCUCAACUCCGAAAUUGCACUGGAUACUGCUCUGCUAGAGGGCUGGAGAGGAGAUCGGAAUUCACGGUGUAGCAGUGAAUGCGUAGAUAUCGUGAGGAAGACCAGUGGCGAAGGCGGGUCUCUGGGCCGAUACUGACGCUGAGGAGCGAAAGCGUGGGGAGCGAACAGG
rnacentral:rRNA from 1 species